rnacentral:lncRNA from 1 species
CAUUGCCACAGUUUGCCUCCGCAGCAUUAUAUCAUGCUGCAGAAACCAGCUCAACUAUGCAAAACUACCACCAGGAUUGGCCGACACCAGCAGGGAUUCCAGAGACCACGCUGCAGAGAGCAUACAGAAAGAAAAUUAAGAAAUCAGAUGCAGCAGCAGCCGGAACCGACAGUUCACCUUGGUGCAUUCCUUUAUGACGAAGACUUAUUGAUUCAUUAUAUGAGAAAGGAAAAAUGAGCAGAAACUACUGUAUGAUGUGCAGCUCACACCAGACAGCACCUUUAGGGUUAUCUUUCCAGUUCAGCAGUGCAACUCUAUGGAGUAGAAUUGAAAGGAGACUUUCCCCAAUUGCAGGAAAUGGUCAUAAAAAAAUACCUGUUCACUAACAGAAUAAAGGUACGUUUUA